CACUUUUAUCAUGAGGGAAUUCAUUUCGAAUUACUAGUUUCACUGACACAGAACUGGCUGUUCAUGUUCACUGAGGUUAAAUAUCACUUUGGUUGGAAAGUCUCUUGCAUAAGAUGGAUGAGCUUAGAUGAAAGUCCUACACCUGAAGGAAGACGGUUUCAUUUCAGUUGCCAGAUAAUGAUGUGGCGUCCAAGGAUCAGAAGGACAGGUAUUUUAAGAUAAGAUUGUGUGCAUGAAUGUAUGUCCUUUUGUCCAAAUUUCCUCUAGGUUGCGUCAAAGGUACAGUAGGACAGGUAUGUUAAGAUAAGAUUGUGUGCAUGAAUGUAUGUCUUUUUGUCCAAAUUUCCUCUAGGUGGUGUAAAGGAUAAAAAAGAAAGGUAUGUUAAGAUAAGAUUGUGUGCAUGUUUAAAUGUCUUUUUGUCCAAAUUUCUUCUAGGUGGCUUUGUAAGGACAGGUAUAUUAAGAUAAGAUUGUGUGCAUGAAUGUAUGUCUUUUUGUCCAAAUUUCCUCUAGGUGGUGUAAAGGAUCAAAAAGAAAGGUAUGUUAAGAUAAGAUGUGUGUAUGUUUAAAUGUCUUUUUGUCCAAAUUUCUUCUAGGUGGCGUCGAAAGGACAGUAGGACAGGUAUGUUAAGAUAAGAUUGUGUGAAUGUUUAAAUGUCUUUUUGUCCACAUUUCUUCUAGGUGGCGUUGAAAGGACAGUAGGACAGGUAUGUUAAGAUAAGAUUGUGUGCAUGAAUGUAUGUCUUUUUGUCCAAAUUUCCUCUAGGUGGUGUAAAGGAUCAAAAAGAAUGGUAUGUUAAGAUAAGAUUGUGUGUAUGUUUAAAUGUCUUUUUGUCCAAAUUUCUUCUAGGUGGCAUCGAAAGGACAGUAGGACAGGUAUGUUAAGAUAAGAUUGUGUGCAUGAAUGUAUGUCUUUUUGUCCAAAUUUCCUCUAGGUGGUGUAAAGGAUAAAAAAGAAAGGUAUGUUAAGAUAAGAUUGUGUGCAUGUUUAAAUGUCUUUUUGUCCAAAUUUCUUCUAGGUGGCAUCGAAAGGACAGUAGGACAGGUAUGUUAAGAUAAGAUUGUGUGCAUGAAUGUAUGUCUUUUUGUCCAAAUUUCCUCUAGGUGGUGUAAAGGAUAAAAAAGAAAGGUAUGUUAAGAUAAGAUUGUGUGCAUGUUUAAAUGUCUUUUUGUCCAAAUUUCUUCUAGGUGGCGUUGAAAGGACAGGUAUGUUAAGAUAAGAUUGUGUGCAUGAAUGUAUGUCUUUUUGUCCAAAUUUCCUCUAGGUGGUGUAAAGGAUAAAAAAGAAAGGUAUGUUAAGAUAAGAUUGUGUGCAUGUUUAAAUGUCUUUUUGUCCAAAUUUCCUCUAGGUGGCGUUGAAAGGACAGGUAUGUUAAGAUAAGAUUGUGUGCAUGAAUGUAUGUCUUUUUGUCCAAAUUUCCUCUAGGUGGUGUAAAGGAUCAAAAAGAAAGGUAUGUUAAGAUAAGAUUGUGUGCAUGUUUAAAUGUCUUUUUGUCCAAAUUUCUUCUAGGUGGCGUCGAAAGGACAGGUAUGUUAAGAUAAGAUUGUGUGCAUGAAUGUGUCUUUUUGUCCAAAUUUCUUCUAGGUGUGUCGAAGGAUCAAACGACAGGUAUGUUAAGAUAAGAUUGUGUGCAUUUUUGUAUGUAUUUUUGUCCAAAUUUCCUCUAGGUGGUGUAAAGGAUCAAAAGGAAAGGUAUGUUAAGAUAAGAUUGUGUGCAUGUUUAAAUGUCUUUUUGUCCAAAUUUCUUCUAGGUGGCGUCAAAAGGACAGGUAUGUUAAGAUAAGAUUGUGUGCAUUUUUGUAUGUCUUUUUGUCCAAAUUUCCUCUAGGUGGCGUCAAAGGAUCAAAAGGACGGGUAUAUUAAGAUAAGAUUGUGUGCAUGAAUGUAUGUCAUUUUGUCCAAAUUUCCUCUAGGUGGUGUAAAGGAUCAAAAGGAAAGGUAUGUUAAGAUAAGAUUGUGUGCAUGUUUAAAUGUCUUUUUGUCCAAAUUUCUUCUAGGUGGCGUCGAAAGGACAGGUAUGUUAAGAUAAGAUUGUGUGCAUGAAUGUAUGUCUUUUUGUCCAAAUUUCCUCUAGGUGGUGUAAAGGAUCAAAAGGAAAGGUAUGUUAAGAUAAGAUUGUGUGCAUGUUUAAAUGUCUUUUUGUCCAAAUUUCCUCUAGGUGGCGUCAAAAGGACAGGUAUGUUAAGAUAAGAUUGUGUGCAUGAAUGUAUGUCCUUUUGUCCAAAUUUCCUCUAGGUGGCGUCAAAGGUACAGUAGGACAGGUAUGUUAAGAUAAGAUUGUGUGCAUUUUUGUAUGUUUUUUUGUCCAAAUUUCCUCUAGGUGGUGUAAAGGAUCAAAAGGACAGGUAUGUUAAGAUAAGAUUGUGUGCAUUUUUGUAUGUCUUUUUCUCCAAAUUUCUUCUAGGUGGCGUCAAAGGAUUAAAAAGAAAGGUAUGAUAAGAUAAGAUUGUGUGCAUGUUUAAAUGUCUUUUUGUCCAAAUUUCUUCUAGGUGGCGUCGAAAGGACAGGUAUGUUAAGAUAAGAUUGUGUGCAUUUUUGUAUGUCUUUUUCUCCAAAUUUCUUCUAGGUGGCUUCGAAAGGACAGGUAUGUUAAGAUAAGAUUGUGUGCAUGAAUGUAUGUUUUUUGUCCAAAUUUUCCUCUAGGUGGUGUAAAGGAUCAAAAAGAAAGGUAUGUUAAGAUAAGAUUGUGUGCAUGUUUAAAUGUCUUUUUGUCCAAAUUUCCUCUAGGUGGUGUAAAGGAUCAAAAGGAAAGGUAUGUUAAGAUAAGAUUGUGUGCAUGUUUAAAUGUCUUUUUGUCCAAAUUUCCUCUAGGUGGUGUAAAGGAUCAAAAGGAAAGGUAUGUUAAGAUAAGAUUGUGUGCAUGUUUAAAUGUCUUUUUGUCCAAAUUUCCUCUAGGUGGCGUCGAAAGGACAGGUAUGUUUAGAUAAGAUUGUGAAUGUAUGUCAUUUUGUCCAAAUUUCCUCUAGGUAGCGUAAAGGAUCAAAAGGACAGGUAUGUUGAGAUAAGAUUGUGUGCAUGUUAAUGUAUGUCUAUUUCUCCAAAUUUCCUCUAGGUGGCGUUGAAAGGACAGGUAUGUUAAGAUAAGAUUGUGUGCAUGAAUGUAUGACUUUUUGUUCAAAUUUCCUCUAGGUGGUGUAAAAGGUACAGUAGGAUAGGUAUAUGUUAAGAUAAGAUUGUGUGCAUUUUUGUAUGUUUUUUUGUCCAAAUUUCCUCUAGGUGGCGUCAAAGGAUCAAAAGGACAGGUAUGUUAAGAUAAGAUUGUGUGCAUGAAUGUAUGUCUUUUUGACCAAAUUUAUUAAGAUGAUUUAAGUUUGUAUUACAGAUGGAGGAGCCAAGAUGAAAGUCCAGUCCUAGACCUGAAGGAAAAUUGUUGUAUGUUAGGUGCCAGAUAAUGAUGAUGCAAAAAGAGCAUAUUAUAAGAUACAGAAAAUUUGGCCAUUGACACAGAUCUGGAAAGAAGCUUAAAGGAAGGACCAAGUUUCAGUCGAGAUGGCAGAUGAGUAGCAACUCCAUGGAAGAAGUUUACUUAGAUCUCCAACCAAGUCCAAGGAUUUUUCAUGUCAGCAAUCAAGCAGCAAGGAUAGCAGCUGGAAUGAAGAUUAAUUAUCACAUUGAUCUUCAAACAAGUCUGAGGCUUAGUCAUGAAAGAA